rnacentral:rRNA from 1 species
UAGGGAAUCUUCCACAAUGGACGAAAGUCUGAUGGAGCAACGCCGCGUGAGUGAUGAAGGCCUUCGGGUCGUAAAGCUCUGUUGUUAGGGAAGAACAAGUGCGAGAGUAACUGCUCGCACCUUGACGGUACCUAACCAGAAAGCCACGGCUAACUACGUGCCAGCAGCCGCGGUAAUACGUAGGUGGCAAGCGUUAUCCGGAAUUAUUGGGCGUAAAGCGCGCGCAGGKGGUUUCUUAAGUCUGAUGUGAAAGCCCACGGCUCAACCGUGGAGGGUCAUUGGAAACUGGGGAACUUGAGUGCRGAAGAGGAAAGUGGAAUUCCAAGUGUAGCGGUGAAAUGCGUAGAGAUUUGGAGGAACACCAGUGGCGAAGGCGACUUUCUGGUCUGUAACUGACACUGAGGCGCGAAAGCGUGGGGAGCAAACASGAUUAGAUACCCUGGUAGUCCACGCCGUAAACGAUGAGUGCUAAGUGUUAGAGGGUUUCCGCCCUUUAGUGCUGCAGCUAACGCAUUAAGCACUCCGCCUGGGGAGUACGGUCGCAAGACUG